rnacentral:rRNA from 1 species
AUGAACGCUGGCGGCGUGCCUAAUACAUGCAAGUCGAGCGAACAGACGAGGAGCUUGCUCCUCUGACGUUAGCGGCGGACGGGUGAGUAACACGUGGAUAACCUACCUAUAAGACUGGGAUAACUUCGGGAAACCGGAGCUAAUACCGGAUAAUAUAUUGAACCGCAUGGUUCAAUAGUGAAAGACGGUUUUGCUGUCACUUAUAGAUGGAUCCGCGCCGCAUUAGCUAGUUGGUAAGGUAACGGCUUACCAAGGCAACGAUGCGUAGCCGACCUGAGAGGGUGAUCGGCCAUACUGGAACUGAGACACGGUCCAGACUCCUACGGGAGGCAGCAGUAGGGAAUCUUCCGCAAUGGGCGAAAGCCUGACGGAGCAACGCCGCGUGAGUGAUGAAGGUCUUCGGAUCGUAAAACUCCGUUAUUAGGGAAGAACAAAUGUGUAAGUAACUAUGCACGUCUUGACGGUACCUAAUCAGAAAGCCACGGCUAACUACGUG